rnacentral:rRNA from 1 species
CGCGCAGGCGGCCAGGUAAGUCGAAUGUGAAAGCCCCCGGCUCAACUGGGGAGGGUCAUUCGAUACUGCUUGGCUUGAAGGUAGGAGAGGGAAGCGGAAUUUCAGGUGUAGUGGUGAAAUGCGUAGAUAUCUGAAGGAACACCAGUGGCGAAGGCGGCUUUCUGGCCUAUUCUUGACGCUGAGGCGCGAAAGCUAGGGGGAGCGAACG